GUUUGGUGUCCAGUAGGUGGGCCCUGCCAAGAUGCAAACAAGAGUCCUACACGCAGAAGUACUACAGCUCCAUGGGGGAGGCUGCCUGUGUGUUGUUCUCAAGGCUAUUGAAGAGAAAUGCCAGAGAUGCAGGAAAACUUUGGAGUAUUUGAAGAGUAAGGAUCUGAACAGUUUCUGACAACAUAAAAGGAUUCAUUAUCUGACAGCCCAUUGUCAAAAGCAGAUGAGUACAGAAACCUGGAUGAUAUUCUGUUGUGUGACCUUCAAAAGAAAAUGAAAAUCUUGCAUAUAUAACUUGUUCUCUGUAAAACAGAAACGUACUAUGAUGUGAUUGCAGAAAGCUUGAAGAGGGGCGUUUUCAGGAGUCGCUCUUUGCUCUUGAAAGCAGAGCAGGGAGUCUUGGCUGGCACCACGUCUGAGCAAGAGGAGCAAUCCCCUUGACUUUUCAG
rnacentral:lncRNA from 1 species